ensembl:snRNA U4 U4 spliceosomal RNA
AGCUUUGCGCAGUGGCAGUAUCGUAGCCAAUGAGGUUUAUCCGAGGCGUGAUUAUUGCUAAUAGAUACCCAUUUAUCCUUCAAGAGAUAAGGACUAUUACUGAUGUUUGGUGUUCCCUUGCAAAAAUAUUCUAUGCUUAAAUGAGU